UACGGGGGGGGCAAGCGUUGUUCGGAAUUACUGGGCGUAAAGGGCUCGUAGGCGGCCAACUAAGUCAGACGUGAGAUCCCCAGGCUCAACCUGGGAACUGCGUCUGAUACUGGAUGGCUUGAAUUCGGGAGAGGGAUGCAGAAUUCCAGGUGUAGCGGUGAAAUGCGUAGAUAUCUGGAGGAAUACCGGUGGCGAAGGCGGCAUCCUGGACCGACAUUGACGCUGAGGAGCGAAAGCUAGGGGAGCAAACGGG
rnacentral:rRNA from 1 species